GAUGAAGAACGUAGCGAAAUGCGAUAAGUAAUGUGAAUUGCAGAAUUCAGUGAAUCAUCGAAUCUUUGAACGCACAUUGCGCCCUUUGGCAUUCCGAAGGGCACACCUAUCCGAGCGCCGUCGCACAACUGAGGCGCAGCCUUGCGUUGGCGGGCGACUUGUGAGUAGCGAGUCGCCGCCCAAACGAGACGGCGCCGCGCCGCGGCCGACGAAGCACGAAAGCGGAAGUCGACGCGGAGGCGGUUGCCUGUAGGAAGACACAGCUUGGCCUCGGAUCAGGUGGGGAUACCCGCUGAACUUAAGCAUAUCAAUAAGCGGAGGA
rnacentral:misc_RNA from 1 species